rnacentral:rRNA from 1 species
UACGUAGGGUGCGAGCGUUAAUCGGAAUUACUGGGCGUAAAGCGUGCGCAGGCGGAUUGUUAAGCAAGAUGUGAAAUCCCCGGGCUUAACCUGGGAAUGGCAUUUUGAACUGGCAGUCUAGAGUGUGUCAGAGGGGGGUGGAAUUCCACGUGUAGCAGUGAAAUGCGUAGAGAUGUGGAGGAACACCAAUGGCGAAGGCAGCCCCCUGGGAUAACACUGACGCUCAUGUACGAAAGCGUGGGUAGCAAACAGGAUUAGAUACCCUGGUAGUCCACGCCCUAAACGAUGUCAACUGGUUGUUGGGGGAGUGAAAUCCCUUAGUAACGAAGCUAACGCGUGAAGUUGACCGCCUGGGGAGUACGGUCGCAAGAUUAAAACUCAAAGGAAUUGACGGGGACCCGCACAAGCGGUGGAUGAUGUGGAUUAAUUCGAUGCAACGCGAAAAACCUUACCUACCCUUGACAUGUCCGGAAUCCUGCAGAGAUGUGGGAGUGCCCGAAAGGGAAUCGGAACACAGGUGCUGCAUGGCUGUCGUCAGCUCGUGUCGUGAGAUGUUGGGUUAAGUCCCGCAACGAGCGCAACCCUUAUCAUUAGUUGCUACGCAAGGGCACUCUAAUGAGACUGCCGGUGACAAACCGGAGGAAGGUGGGGAUGACGUCAAGUCCUCAUGGCCCUUAUGGGUAGGGCUUCACACGUCAUACAAUGGUCGGUACAGAGGGUUGCCAAGCCGCGAGGUGGAGCCAAUCCCAGAAAGCCGAUCGUAGUCCGGAUUGUUCUCUGCAACUCGAGAGCAUGAAGUCGGAAUCGCUAGUAAUCGCGGAUCAGCAUGUCGCGGUGAAUACGUUCCCGGGUCU